CCUACGGGAGGCAGCAGUAGGGAAUAUUGCACAAUGGGGGAAACCCUGAUGCAGCGACGCCGCGUGAGUGAUGAAGUAAUUCGUUAUGUAAAGCUCUAUCAGCAGGGAAGAAAAUGACGGUAACUUAGUAAGAAGCCCCGGCUAACUCCGUGCCAGCAGCCGCGGUAAUACGGAGGGGGCAAGCGUUAUCCGGAUUUACUGGGUGUAAAGGGAGCGUAGACGGGAGUGCAAGUCUGGAGUGAAAGGCCGAGGCUCAACCUCCGGACUGCUCUGGAAACUGUAAGGCUGGAGUGCGGGAGAGGUAAGUGGAAGUCCUGGUGUAGCGGUGAAAUGCGUAGAUAUCAGGAGGAACACCAGUGGCGAAGGCGGCUUACUGGACUGUAACUGACGUUGAGGCUCGAAAGCGUGGGGAGCAAACAGGAUUAGAUACCCCAGUAGUC
rnacentral:rRNA from 1 species